GCAGUGGUGGUUCAGUGGUAGAAUUCUUGUCUUCUAUGCAGGAGACCUGAGUUCGAUUCCCAGCCAGUGCA
rnacentral:tRNA from 1 species